GAUUCCAUGGUGUAAUGGCAGCACAUCAGGUUUUGACCCUGGCAGCGCUCGUUCGAUUCGGGCUGGAAUCAC
rnacentral:tRNA from 1 species